UACGGGGGGGGCAAGCGUUGUUCGGAAUUACUGGGCGUAAAGGGCUCGUAGGCGGCCAACUAAGUCGGAUGUGAAAUCCCCAGGCUCAACUUGGGAACUGCAUCCGAUACUGGAUGGCUUGAAUUCGGGAGAGGGAUGCAGAAUUCCAGGUGUAGCGGUGAAAUGCGUAGAUAUCUGGAGGAAUACCGGUGGCGAAGGCGGCAUCCUGGACCGACAUUGACGCUGAUGAGCGAAAGCCAGGGGAGCAAACGGG
rnacentral:rRNA from 1 species